GUUCAAAUGUGACACCCUCUGUCAAAUGUGACACAGACGAGCUUCAGGGAACCAAGAGCCUAUGGCGGGGUUUUGGAACCUCAUUGGAACCAAGGGUCCAGUGUGACACAUGGAGUUCCACUCCUCAUGGAACCCAGGAGACCACACUGACACUAUGGAGUCUCAAGGAGCCAAAAUACUAAAGUGUCAUAUCAAGGGGCCUUAUGGAAACAAGAACCACAGUGAGGGGUGGCCUUAUGGAACCCAGGAGACACGGUGUGGCCAUGCAAUCUCUUGGAACAAAGGCUCUAAUGUGACACAGCAUGGCCUCUUGGAACCCAGGAGAGCACUGUGAGGUGAUGGAACACUGUGGAACCAGGGCUCUAAUGUGACUCAGAGCAGCCUCAUUGAACCAAGGAUACCAUAGUGAGGGCAUGGAGCCUCAUGGAACCAAUACUCCAGGGUGAUGCAGUGGGGCCUUGUGGAGCUCAGGAGACCCUACUGAGGUUCGGAUACAAGGACUGAUGCAAAGUCCACUGGAAAAGCAGCCUCAGGAACUACUUGAAAACCCGUGUGGAAAUAUCUUUUGCUCCUAGUUAGCAGCUCCUUUCACAGCUCCAGAGCUUUGGUUUUCAUGGUUGAAAGUUCUUUCAAGGUCAGAUUCAUCUUUUUGGAACAAAACCACAAAAUUAAAACAAAUAUACCAGGACAAGGGCAACAAAAAAUGCCAAACCAACCAAACAAAAACCCACACAAAAAGACCUGAAACAAUCAAACACAGACUCAAAAACCCCAGAAAGUUCUGCUUGAAAAGGACAAUUACAUUUUUUAUUAUUCCCCCUA